rfam:Camelus ferus unplaced genomic scaffold scaffold1089, whole genome shotgun sequence.
GACGGUAUAGCUCAGUGGUAGAGUGCGUGCCUGGCAUGCACAAGGUCCUGGGUUCAAUCCCCAGCACUGCCA